rnacentral:rRNA from 1 species
AACGAACGCUGGCGGCAGGCCUAACACAUGCAAGUCGAGCGCCCAGCAAUGGGAGCGGCAGACGGGUGAGUAACGCGUGGGGAUGUGCCCAAUGGUGCGGAAUAACCCAGGGAAACUUGGAUUAAUACCGCAUGUGCCCUUCGGGGGAAAGAUUUAUCGCCAUUGGAUCAACCCGCGUCUGAUUAGCUAGUUGGUGAGGUAAAGGCUCACCAAGGCGACGAUCAGUAGCUGGUCUGAGAGGAUGAUCAGCCACACUGGGACUGAGACACGGCCCAGACUCCUACGGGAGGCAGCAGUGGGGAAUAUUGGACAAUGGGCGCAAGCCUGAUCCAGCCAUGCCGCGUGAGUGAUGAAGGCCUUAGGGUUGUAAAGCUCUUUCGCCGGUGAAGAUAAUGACGGUAACCGGAGAAGAAGCCCCGGCUAACUUCGUGCCAGCAGCCGCCGCGG